UCAAACUGACUCGGGGCUGCACCUGGAGUCAGACUACUGGAGGGGCUCGCUACCACCGCAGGACUCUGUCCCUCGCUGCAGGGCGACCUGGUAGGGUCUUGGAGAAACUGAAAAAUCAGCAAAGCCAAACUGAAGUAACCUUCAGGGUCCCAAGGGAUUAUUUGCAAGAGCAUGGCUCACCAGUGGCAGAGCACUGAGGAAAACGCCUCUUUCUCCUCCAGCAACUAUUAACUGCCUGUAUAUCCACAGAAAAGGGGUGAAGAUAGAUGACUCAGAAGUUCAGAUAAUUUGCUGAUCUUGCAGAAGACCUAAGUCUGGGUCCUGGCACCAAAAUGAUAGCUCACAACCAUCCAUGAUUUUAGUUUCAGAAGAUCCAACCACUCUUCUGACCUAUGUGAGCAUCAAGAUGAAUGUGGUACUCAUAUAUAC